GGGGAUUUGGCUCAGAGAUAGAGCGCUUGCCUAGCAAGCACAAGGCCCUGGGUUCGGUCCCCAGCUCCG
rnacentral:tRNA from 1 species